UACGGGGGGGAGCAAGCGUUGUUCGGAUUUACUGGGCGUAAAGGGCGCGUAGGCGGCCACCGCAAGUCGACUGUGAAAUCUCCGGGCUUAACCCGGAAAGGUCAGCCGAUACUGCGGGGCUAGAGUGCAGAAGGGGCAACUGGAAUUCUCGGUGUAGCGGUGGAAAUGCGUAGAUAUCGAGAGGAACACCUGCGGCGAAGGCGGGUUGCUGGGCUGACACUGACGCUGAGGCGCGAAAGCCAGGGGAGCGAACGGG
rnacentral:rRNA from 1 species